UUAAAUAAAAAAAUUAGGAUGCACAUAUCAAGACGAAGAAUUGCUUUUACCGAAACGAUGAAUAAUGAAUUGUUGCUAAUGAUUCCCUCUUUUUCUUUCUUUCUUUCUUUUUUUUCUCUCUCUCUUUCUCUCUCUCCUUUUCU
rnacentral:ribozyme from 12 species